UACGUAGGGAGCAAGCGUUGUCCGGAAUCAUUGGGCGUAAAGCGCGCGUAGGUGGCCUCAUAAGUCCGCUGUGAAAGUCAAAGGCUCAACCUUUGAAAGCCGGUGGAUACUGUGGGGCUAGAGUACGGAAGAGGCGAGUGGAAUUCCUGGUGUAGCGGUGGAAUGCGCAGAUAUCAGGAGGAACACCAAUAGCGAAGGCAGCUCGCUGGGACGUUACUGACACUGAUGCACGAAAGCGUGGGGAGCAAACAGG
rnacentral:rRNA from 1 species